AAGACCUUGCGCUUUUGGAGUGGCCGAUGCCUGAUUAGCUUGUUGGUAAGGUAAAAGCUUACCAAGGCUUCGAUCAGUAGCUGGUCUGAGAGGACGGCCAGCCACACUGGGACUGAGACACGGCCCAGACUCCUACGGGAGGCAGCAGUGGGGAAUUUUGGACAAUGGGGGCAACCCUGAUCCAGCCAUGCCGCGUGAGUGAAGAAGGCCUUCGGGUUGUAAAGCUCUUUCAGCCGGAACGAAACGGUUACGGUUAAUACCCGUGACUACUGACGGUACCGGAAGAAGAAGCACCGGCUAACUACGUGCCAGCAGCCGCGGUAAUACGUAGGGUGCGAGCGUUAAUCGGAAUUACUGGGCGUAAAGCGUGCGCAGGUGGUUUUGUAAGUCAGAUGUGAAAGCCCCGGGCUCAACCUGGGAACU
rnacentral:rRNA from 1 species